CCUACGGGAGGCAGCAGUAGGGAAUCUUGCGCAAUGGGCGAAAGCCUGACGCAGCAACGCCGCGUGAAAGAGACGCGCUUUGGGGGGUAAAGAUCUGUCAGUGGGGACGAAACGUGACGGUACCCACAGAGGAAGCACCGGCUAACGCCGUGCCAGCAGCCGAGGCAAUACGGGGGGGGCAAGCGUUGUCCGGAAUCAUUGGGCGUAAAGGGUUCGUAGGCGGCACGUGAAGUCUGGUGUUAAAGGCAGAGGCUCAACUUCAGUACGGCACUGGAUACUUGCGAGCUAGAGUGCGGUAGAGGUAACGGGAAUUCCUGGUGUAGCGGUGAAAUGCUUAGAUAUCAGGAGGAACAUCGGUGGCGUAGGCGCUUUACUGGGCCGUAAUUGACGCUGAGGAACGAAAGCCAGGGUAGCAAAUGGGAUUAGAUACCCCAGUAGUC
rnacentral:rRNA from 1 species